UUAUUGAGGUAGUAGUAGGGUCGGACCCCAUGGUCCUUACUAAAGUGCUGGAAAAUCCUGAUACGUCCUAUUGUUGGGGCCUGAGGAGGAGUUUGAGUCGUGGGCCUAGGUCUCUUAUUCUACUGAUUCGGUGUAAUAGGUGCUGGCCUGCGUUGUGGGACUGGAGGCCUGGGAUUGCCCACUGUUGGGAAAAAGAUGCGGAGGUUCCUUUCUAUUAGCUGUGCCUUGGCCAAAACUACUGAGUACGUGUUGAGCUCGAACACAUACAGUUGUUGUCUAAUCUCAAGACGAAGACCCCACUCAAACUUUCUUACCUUUUUACCUUUUUCCAUCAUGCUCUCAGGAGAGUAUCGGCCCAACUCUAUCUAUCAUAUCCCCUUGAACCAAAUGUGCAAACUCCAUCUCCUUUAGAUGGCAAAGAUGUUUUGAAAGGUACUCUACAUUGAAGGCUACUAGAAACUAUUCCCAGGUGACUGGGAUGUGUAGGGUGGCCUGUUUCAGUUGUCAUCAAUGCUCUGCCUCACCCACGAGCAUGUAGGUGGCAAGAAUGACAUUC
rnacentral:lncRNA from 1 species